UACAGAGGGGGCAAGCGUUGUCCGGACUGACUGGGCGUAAAGCGCGCGCAGGCGGUCACGGGCGUCGGUGCUGAAAGUGCGCCGCUUAACGGCGCAAUGCGUGCCGAUACGCCGUGACUGGAGCGCGGGCGAGGGUGGUGGAAUUGCCGGUGGAGCGGUGAAAUGCGUUGAUAUCGGAAGGAACGCCGGCGGCGAAAGCGGCUUGCUGGACCCCACCUGACGCUGAGGCGCGAAAGCCAGGGGAGCGAACGGG
rnacentral:rRNA from 1 species